rnacentral:rRNA from 1 species
UACAGAGGUCUCAAGCGUUGUUCGGAUUCAUUGGGCGUAAAGGGUGCGUAGGCGGCGCGGUAAGUCGGGUGUGAAAUCUUGGAGCUUAACUCCGAAACUGCAUUCGAUACUGUCGAUCUGGAGUAUGGAAGAGGUGAGUGGAAUUCCGAGUGUAGAGGUGAAAUUCGUAGAUAUUCGGAGGAACACCAGUGGCGAAGGCGGCUCACUGGUCCAUUACUGACGCUGAGGUGCGAAAGCGUGGGGAGCAAACAGG